rnacentral:rRNA from 1 species
AGUGAACGCUGGCGGUAGGCCUAACACAUGCGAGUCGAACGGCAGCACAGUAAGAGCUUGCUCUUCGGGUGGCGAGUGGCGGACGGGUGAGGAAUACAUCGGAAUCUACUUUUUCGUGGGGGAUAACGUAGGGAAACUUACGCUAAUACCGCAUACGACCUACGGGUGAAAGCAGGGGAUCUUCGGACCUUGCGCGAUUGAAUGAGCCGAUGUCGGAUUAGCUAGUUGGCGGGGUAAAGGCCCACCAAGGCGACGAUCCGUAGCUGGUCUGAGAGGAUGAUCAGCCACACUGGAACUGAGACACGGUCCAGACUCCUACGGGAGGCAGCAGUGGGGAAUAUUGGACAAUGGGCGCAAGCCUGAUCCAGCCAUACCGCGUGGGUGAAGAAGGCCUUCGGGUUGUAAAGCCCUUUUGUUGGGAAAGAAAAGCAGCAGGUUAAUACCCCGCUGUUCUGACGGUACCCAAAGAAUAAGCACCGGCUAACUUCGUG